GACCAUUGAUACGUUCGUUCAUCCGACUGCUGGUGUGGGAUUUGGACCAGGCCCACAUGGUGGAUAUUCUGGUGUUCAUUAUACAACGACAAAUACUUUUGGACAGCCAGGGUCCAAUGUGACAGUAUUUGGGGCACAGCCUACUCGUCCAAAUAAUUCAGCUCCAUGUGACAAGGCAGUGCUGAUAGUCUUUAUAGUGUUUGGUGUGGUGAUCGUUCUUCUGUGUGUCUUGACUCCAAUUAUCAUUUUUACUACUCAGCGCUAGUUGUAUAAACGUUAAUAAGUUAUAUGAAUUUGGAGAAACUUCAAACCCUACGUAUCUAUUUGCUAAAUUUUAAGUUUUGUCGGUAUCUUCAUCAGGUUCAGGAAAACGUUUAAAUAAUAUCAUAUUUUAUCUUAAUCCCGGCAUUUAUUUCGUGAAACUGUACAAGCCACAAAUUGUUGACUAAUUUACGUAUAUGUGAUAUCUUUACUUUUUAUAUAAAAAUUGUUUGUCUGUAUAUAUUUUGUUUUAAAUGUUCAUCAAUUUUUAUACUUCUUGAUACAAAUUUAAUGCAAAAUAUAAUAUAUUAUUGA